rnacentral:rRNA from 1 species
CCUACGGGAGGCUGCAGUGAGGAAUAUUGGUCAAUGGACGAGAGUCUGAACCAGCCAAGUAGCGUGAAGGAUGACUGCCCUAUGGGUUGUAAACUUCUUUUAUAAAGGAAUAAAACGAGGCACGUGUGCCUGUUUGCAUGUACUUUAUGAAUAAGGAUCGGCUAACUCCGUGCCAGCAGCCGCGGUAAUACGGAGGAUCCGAGCGUUAUCCGGAUUUAUUGGGUUUAAAGGGAGCGUAGAUGGGUUGUUAAGUCAGUUGUGAAAGUUUGCGGCUCAACCGUAAAAUUGCAAUUGAUACUGGCAGUCUUGAGUACAGUUGAGGUAGGCGGAAUUCGUGGUGUAGCGGUGAAAUGCUUAGAUAUCACGAAGAACCCCGAUUGCGAAGGCAGCUUACUAAACUGUGACUGACAUUGAUGCUCGAAAGUGUGGGUAUCAAACAGGAUUAGAUACCCGGGUAGUC